CACGCCUGUGUCCCAGAGGCUGUGGUAGGAGGGUUGCUUAAGCCUGGGAAGUCAAGGCUGCAGUGAGCUAUGACUGUCCCACUGCAUUCCAGCCUGGGCAACAGGGUGAGACCCUGUCUUAAAACAAAUAAAUAAAAAACAAAAUAAAAUAAAACUCUGCUCUGCCACUUCCUAGCUGAGUUACUUUGGGAAAGUUAUUGAAUCUCUCCGUGCCUCCAUUUUCUCACAAUUAUAAAACGGGGAUAAUACCUGUUACACAGGAUUGUGAUAAAGAUUAAAUUCAUCUAGAAUGCCUGGGUAAAUACUUAGCAUAAAAUAGAUUUCCAAAAAUGUAAGGCCAAUUUCUACCGAGGCCUAUUCCUUACAAAGAAAACUGAAGACACAUAGGAAUUCUCAUUCCUUGUAGUGAUCUAAAUUACCAAACCAUGCAACAUCUUAAUAUAAAAGAAAUCUCAAGGAAGGAAAUGAAGUUACUGCCUCAUGGUUUUACUGACAAGCAGUUUUUAAAUUGCAGGUUCACAGAGGGAUUUGGGGGACCCAUUAAUCCCCUGAAAUUAUACCUGAUUUUGAGGCAGCGUGCUACUUCUGUAAAUGUCUUCACUGAAUUUCCACUAGCUCCAAACCUAUUUCUCUAUUCUCCUUUACAGCAAAUAUCCUCAAAAAGGUGCUAUACUCACUCUCUCAAAUUCUCCUUUCAUUCUCUCUUAAACCCACUCCAAUAAGAAUGAUGAAACAAACCCUGCCCUGAAACUAAUCUUGCCAAGAUCAUCUGUCCACAUUGCUAAAUCCAAUGAUCAGUUCUCAGUCCUAAGCUGAUUUUUAGCAGAUUUUUGACACACUUCAUCUACCCCUCCUGCUUGAAUACGUUUUUCUCAUCUGGCUUCCAGGAUGCCAUAUAAUAUAGUCUAUGAUUUCUUGGUUUUCCUCCUUUUUUGCUGAUCUCUUAUCAGCUUUUGUUGCUGACUGUUGUCUCAGACUUUUUAACGUCCCUGGACUUCGUCCUUGAACUUUUUCUCUUCUCUUCCCUAUACUCCACUGGUAAUCUCUUCUGGUUUCCCAGCUUUACUUACACUUGCCACACACUCACAACUAGGUAUCUCCAACCCAGGUUUCUCACAUGAAUUCCAGACUCUUACACCAUCUUAAAACUGUCUACUUGGCAUCUCCACUUGAGUAUCUAAUACUACUUUAACCUUGGUGUGUCCAAAGUAAGCUCAAGAGGCCAGGCGCGGUGGCUCACACCUGUAAUCCCAGCACUUUGGGAGGCCGAGGUGGGCAGAUCACUUGAGGUCAGGAAUUCGAGACCAGCCUGGCCAAAAUGGUGAAAUCCUGUCUCUACUAAAAACACAAAAAUUAGCUGGAUGUGGUAGCAGGCACCUGUAGUCUCAGCUACUCAGGAGGCCGAGGCAGGAGAAUCACUUGAACCCGGGAGGUGGAGGGUGAAGUGAGCCAAGACUGCGCCACUACACUCCAGCCUGGGAGACACAGUGAGACUCCAUCUUAAAAAACAAACAAAUAAUCUGCUCUAAACACAGCCUUCCCAUGUCAGCUCCUGACAACCCCAUCCUUUGAGCUGCACAGUCCCAAACCUUGGAAUCAUCCUUGACUCCUUUCUUUCAACCCCUACCCUACAGUGAAAUUCAUCAGAGACCAGGCAUGGUGGUUCAUGCCUAUAAUUCCAACACUUGGGGAGGGCGAGACAAGAGGAUCAUGUGAGCCCAGGAGUUCAAGACCAGCCUGGGCAACAUAGUGAGACCCCAUUUCUACAGAAAGUUUUUAAAAUUAGCUGAGCAUGGUGGCACAUGCCUAUAUUCCCAUCUACUUGGGAGGCUGAGGUAGAAGGAUCACCUGAGCCAGGGAGGUCAAGGCUGCAGUGAGCCGUGUUCACACCACUGCACUGCAGCCUGGGCAACAGAGUGAGAUUCUGACUAAAAAAAUUUAAAAACUCAUCAGAAAAUACUGUCGCUCUAUCUUCAAAAUACAUCCAGAAGUCAUAUACUUUUCACAAGUCUACUAGCAAAUGGAUGAAGCACCACCAUUUCUCACAUGAAUUAUUAUCAUGAUAGCCUCCCACCUAUCUCAUUAUUUCUAGCCUGUUGUCCCAGUCUGCUGUCCACAAAGGAGUCUUCUGUCCUUUUAAAAUGCAAAUAAUGCACUAUGGGAGGCCGAAGUGGGAGGACUGUUUGAACUCAGGAGUUUGAGACCAGCAUGGGCAACCUAAGGAGAGCUGUCUCUACUAAACAGAAAUUAAAUUUUUUAAAAAAAGAAGAGAAAAUGCAAAUCACAUCAUGUCACUUCUUUGCUCAAAACCAUCCAGUGCCUUCCCCAUUUCAAUUUAAGCCAAAGUCCUGAAAAGGCCCCAAGAAGCACCUUUACAUUCCCCCAGCCCCUUACCGGUGAACAUCUACCUCAGAAGUCACAACAGACAUCGUAGACUGAAUGGGUGGUCCCCAGAAAGAUAUGUCCAAGUCCUAAUCCCCAGUUCCUGGGGACUGCCACCAAAGAUUGCCAGCAGCCACCAGAAGCAAGGAGGAAGUAUGGAAUGGGCUGUCCCUAAGAGCCCCCAGAAGGAACUAACCCUGCCAACCGACACCUUGAUUUCAGACUUCUGGCCUCCACAACUGUGGCACAAUAAAUGUCUGUUGUGUUAAGCCACCAAGCAUGUGCUUGUAAUGGCAGCCCCAGGAAACUGACACACCACUCUACCCCCUGCUCAUUCUGCUCCCACCACGCUGUCUUCCUUGUGCCCACUUCAGGACCUUUCCACUGACUAUUCUCCUCUGUCUGGGAAGCUCACGCUGCAGAACUUCACAUGGCAAACUCCCACACAUUUUAGCCUUUUGCUCAAACAUCAUCCUCUCCAUGAGGCCUAUCCUGACUCCCCUAUUUAAAUUGCAACCACCACCAUCUUUCCACUUCUUUCAAACUCCCUUACAGUAUCUAUUUUUUUCCACAGCAUUUAUCAUACUCUAAUAUACUACAUAACAUUCUUGUUUAUUACCCAUUGGAUUCCAUAGAAUAUAAGCUCCACAGAGGCAGGGUUUUUAGGUUUGCUUGGGGUUUUUUUUCUCUUUUGUUCACUGGUGUAUUCUAAACAUCUAUAAACUAUGCCUGGCAGAUAGUAGCUGUUCAAUAAACACACGCUGAAUAAAUCUGUUGAACGAACGUGUAUAUGUAUAUGUCUUUUUCUGGAAACAGAAUUCACAGUUUUUAUCAGAUUAAUGAAGUGAUCUGCUACCCAAAAAAGGUUUCCAAAUCUUUGUUCUCAAGCUUUAAGUGGUUAAGGAAAAGGGAAUUCUAUCCUAAAAGACCCCAACUCUAAAAAAAGCAAACAAAACCCCAAAAACACUCAUACUAUGACUUCGUAUCUUACAAAUGGCAGACACAAGUUUAAAUUUCAUACUCCCAAAACCAAAUUUUGCUAAAGAAAAAAAGACAGUCCACUACAAUUUAAUGGCUUGAGAAGCACCUUCACCCACUUUUCACAGAACCUUGCACACUAAAAGGUGUACCCAGGAUGAGCUUAUGUCUCUACUGCUUAAGCAACAAAGGGUGGCCAGCAGUGUGAAGCAUUCACAUAAGCAAAUCAAAGUUCCACACAGCUCAAGAACAUGAUCCAAUGCUCCACCUAGGUAAAAUCCUAUCCAAAGUAGGGGAGUAGAACCAAAGCAAAUCAUAACCUGUCUAGCAUCUAUCCUUACUAUGGAAUAAACAGAUAUUUACUCAAAAUACAACACUGUUUUAAAGACCUUGAGAAACCAUAGAAGAGAUGUCAUUUACAUGCCCCCUCAGUAUGAACCAUAAAGCGUAACAAUGAAAGGCAGUCAAGCAUAGGAAAACCUGUUAAUGGAUUUUGAUAACAGCAGAAAGGCACCCACUACAUUCCUUAUUAUUGCUGCAACAUAUUUCAAAGUUACUACUAAACAGGUCUAGGCUAAUACAAUCACACCAAACACCAGAAUUCAGCAUAUUACUUAUCCAAGCAUACAUUCUUCAGACAUAUCUUUUAUAUUAAAUCAAUGACCAUUACAGAGGAAAAUAUGCACAUCUGCUGUUCCAUCUUUCUUGUUCCAUCAGCAAGUGGAUUCACAAUGCAACCAAGUCCUAGUCCUUACCUUUCCUGGUUCCAUUCUCCAACAGAGGAAUUUCAAGGAUACAGAAUCUAUGACAUACUUUGAAGACAAAGGCAUUUUAAACUCUAAUUAACUCAUAAUUUGCCUUGAGCUGCUUUUUUUUGAGACGAAGUCUCACUCUUGUCCCCAGGCUGGAGUGUGAUGGCGCAGUCUUGGCUCACUGCAACCUCCGCCUCCCGGGUUCAAGCAAUUCUCCUGCCUCAGCCUCCUGAGUAGCUGAGAUUACAGGUGCCAACCACCACGCCCAGCUAAUUUUUGUAUUUUUAGUAGCAAUGGGGUUUCACCAUGUUAGCCAAGCUGGUCUCGAAUUCCUGACCUCAAGUGAUCUGCCCACCUCGGCCUCCCAAAGUGCUGGGAUUACAGGUAUGAGCCAUCGCGCUCGGCCUGCCUUGAGCUGUUUUUUUAAAUACUGGUAAGACUUUCACAUCUCAGAACACAUCAUUUUAUCAAAUUCCAAACCCAACCGCUCUUCAUCACCUCCACGACUACCACACUAACCCAGGCCCACAGCACAUCCCCUGCAGAGUCUGGCCACACUCCUCAUCAGUCUGCCUGCUUCCACUCUGACUGGCAGCAGUCUAACUUUCUUUUUU
rnacentral:lncRNA from 1 species